rnacentral:lncRNA from 1 species
UUGGUCAAUGUUGAACAGAAGGGAAAAUCCAUUUUGUUUAUUUUUUAACUUUAUUUCAGAGAGUGGUGGGUUUUGUGGGUCAUUGGUUUAAAGGAGACAUAAAUCACAAAAAAGAAAGGAGUGAAACUUUUUCUUUUCCUUUGGGCUCAGCCAGGGGAACAUAUCCCCUUUUCCUGGGGCUGCUUAUAGCAGGCACAGAGGAGAGGAGAGAGGGACUCACCUGGAGAAACCAUUUCCUCCUUUUUGUGUGCAUUUUAAUUAGAUGGCAGGGGGCUGAGGGCCCCAGCUUCUCCCCACCCACUACAUGGGAACCUACUUUAACUGUGAGCAGAAGUCAAGUAACAAAACAAGCAAAUGUUCCUGCUCUCUGAGUGGUUCAGGUGGAGGUUUUUAGGGUUUCUCUGGCAAAGAAAAAAAAAUAUAUACAGGUCUCCAACAGGAGGGGACACAGGUCUUAAGGCUAGGGGAUUCUCAUACCAGGGAAAGCCAGUCGUCAAUACAGGUAAACAGAACUGACAGAAACACAUAGAAAGACACACAGAGACACACAUGCACAUAGAGAGACACAGAACAGACAACCACGCGAGGCCACCACACAUUCAUACACCUGAACAGACAGAAGGAUCCAGUGACAUCUGACAUGGAUCCCAGACACUGGAUCAGUGGCCCCACCUGACCUCUCCUACUUUUCUAAACAGAGGUGCCUCAACAGGACUUACCUCCCGAGGUAACAGACCAGGUGGCUUUCUAAUCUGUUUCCUUUUGGGGUAGAGAUGUCAGACCUCUCUGAAGCAUAGGUGGUGAUUAAUCAAAGGGAACCCUGGGGACCUGAAACAUCUCACUCCCUGGGAAGCCCUUGACAUGAGCACCUCCCACACCCCUGUGUCUCCAGGUCUGGUCUCUAGUAUCUCACUGGGAUAUUCACCAGAGGAGACUGCUCAGACGUGGGUUUAAGCAAAAGGAAGGUCUUUACUAGCCAGAGGGUGACUCUACAAGGUGUUGAUCGCAAAAACCAUGUUCUGAGUUGACAUAUAUUCGUGAACCAAAACAGUUAGUCAGAAGUGGAACCAUAGAAGCUAAACAGCAAGGACAAGCCUGAGGUGUUUUUCUCUUCCC